ACGAACGCUGGCGGCGUGCUUCACACCUGCAAGUCGAACGGAAAGGCCCUGCUUGCAGGGUACUCGAGUGGCGAACGGGUGAGUAACACGUGGGUGAUCUGCCCUGCACUUCGGGAUAAGCCUGGGAAACUGGGUCUAAUACCGGAUAGGAGCCAUUUUUAGUGUGAUGGUUGGAAAGUUUUUUCGGUGUAGGAUGAGCUCGCGGCCUAUCAGCUUGUUGGUGGGGUAAUGGCCUACCAAGGCGGCGACGGGUAGCCGGCCUGAGAGGGUGGACGGCCACAUUGGGACUGAGAUACGGCCCAGACUCCUACGGGAGGCAGCAGUGGGGAAUAUUGCACAAUGGGCGCAAGCCUGAUGCAGCGACGCCGCGGGGGGGAUGACGGCCUUCGGGUUGUAAACUCCUUUCGCUAGGGACGAAGCUUUUUGUGACGGUACCUAGAGAAGAAGCACCGGCUAACUACGUG
rnacentral:rRNA from 1 species